AACAGCGAAAAUAGCAAAAUCUCAAUAGUUUAGGUAUGAGGCUGCGGUGAAAGCGGAGAGCUGUGGGGAGUUUCUAUGGGUGGUUUUUGCCCCUCUUUGUCUUUCUUCGCCGCCGAUGAUCACUCAAAUGAAAAAAAUAAAUUCCGAUUGCAAAACUAGCCUUUCGGUGAAAAUAAGUGUUACUCCGUUCACUUUUACUUUUGGGCAAUGAGGCUAUGAAGAUUAUUGUCUUCUGCGGAAGAUGAAACAGACAUAUUGCUAUUGAGCUCGAAAAAACUGUAACUUGGCGUGGCAGCUCAGAUGGGUCUGUGAGAUAUUGGAGAAAGUUCCCUUUCAGGGUGUUUUUACCUCUCAUAAGGCUAACUGAUGCUUGCAGCCAUGACGGUUUUUUCAAAGCUUUUUGGUUUUUGUCUGAGAAAAGGCGAAUCUGAGCCUACCCCAUUACUUUGAUUUUUGUUUUUGGUUUUCCCUAUGCUCCUUGAUUAUGUAGGCGAAAAUCUAAGCUCAUCCCUCGAUUUAACUUUUAGUUCCAUUUCUGAGACUGUAACUCGGAGAUGCUUUGUGGGAAUAAUUCUUAGCUUGAAGAUGGUUGAUUUUUCCAUAAUGUUAGUGGAAUAAUUUCUCCAAAAUUUAUGAGUUUUAGUAAUUGAAUGAGAAACGGCGAUGAUAGCAAAAAUCAUUGAUGGCCAAAGAUCAAAUAAGAAUGCCAAACUACCACAGAUCUUCUAUUUGUUGUGAAUUAAUCUCUUGACUAGUAUGGUAACUCAACCUUAACAGCACUGUAUUUUUAUUUGCGCCGAUUGAAACAAACUGAGUCUGAGUGUUGUCCGAUGUGGCAUUGCUAAAAAGAAGUCUUGUUAGUUACAAAUCAUGUCAAGAUCCCUUGCUGCAAGGUACUCUUGCAUUUUUGCAGACAAAAACUUGCAGGUGAUGGGUUUUUGUUCCCAUUAAGAUGAAGUACUAGUUUGAAGUGGGGCUAGAUUCUGAUGUGUAAGAAAUAUUGUAAAGAAACUACACUUAUGUUGAUGAAAACUCCAGGAACUGCGUUUGUCUUUAAGUUCCAAAUUUCCGUGAAAUCACUGUAGAUUCUAGCUACAGCAGGAACGAAAUGGAGAGAGGAGGAUUGGAAAUCAAUAAUGUUUGAUUGGGAUGAUCUAAUGUUCUUGAAAGAGCUAUUUUGCUUGGUCACAGCUAUGGACCUUGUUGAUAUGAGUCAAUAGCAUCUGCCCCAUAUCUUAGAUAUUUCUGAUAAGCAGGAUAAGUUGAUCCAGAUAUUCUCCAUUAGCUCCUUUAAGUAAUAACCACCACUACAACGACAACAUACUCAGUGCGAUCCAUAAGUGGGGUUUGGGAAGGGUGGAAUGUAGGCAACCCUAAGUAAUAAUACCUUGUUGAUAUGAGUCAAUAGCAUCUGCCCCAUAUCUUAGAUAUUUCUGAUAAGCAGGAUAAGUUGAUCCAGAUAUUCUCCAUUAGCUCCUUUAAGUAAUAACCACCACUACAACGACAACAUACUCAGUGCGAUCCAUAAGUGGGGUUUGGGAAGGGUGGAAUGUAGGCAACCCUAAGUAAUAAUGCCAAUUGAAGGUCUGUUAUUAAUGCAGAGAUGAAAGGAUAUCCCUUUAAUUAAUGCCUUUCUAGAGCUUUUGGCUAAAAUCAAGUAUCCAAGAACCACAAAUAGUAGUCUCUAGCAGGGUAAAUGGAGAUCCAGCCAAGCAUAGCUGCUCUAGUGAGUUAUGAGCUAUUGCGCUUGCAAUAAUUAUAUGUAAAAACUUCCAUUUACUUUUUAUUUGUAAUUCUAGGCAUUGAACAGGUAAAUGAAACCCUAUGUGUGUUCCUUUUUCUCUUUAAUGUGGACCUGUUUGCGAGUGUGCAUUACGAAAUUUGUCGAUAUCAGAAGGUGUACAUCUUUAUAAAACUGCCACCAACCACAACCAAAUAAAAAAUUCUCUGUUUUUUUAUUCUGGGGAUGUAAAUGCUAAGGUCUAUUUUUGAGUUACGUUAUUGCUAAAGAUGUACUUCUUAACACCUUAGGCUAUUUUUCUCCCCUUUUUUUUUGUUUUUUAAAACUCUCUGUAAUGAAUGACAAUGCUCUGCCUCUUUGAUAUGAGUGUGCCUAAAAGUGUUCGCUUUUUUACUUGAAUUUUAGGAAUGUGAGUGCUAACAUCUAUUUUUGAGUUUCCUUGUUGAUAAAUAUGCUCUUUUGAUUGAUACUUAAUCCUAUUCUCCACUCUCUUUUGAACUCUGUAAUGAAUGGGAAUGCUCUUGCUCUGAGAUUGGUGUGACUUAAUGUGUUUUUCUUUAUCUAGAAUCGUAGGCAUCAUUAUUAAAAGUGUACUUUCUGAUACUUUAGCCUUUAUUUUCUGUGUUUGAACUCUGUAUAAAGAAUCACAAUGCUGAUUCCUUGAUGUGGGUGUGCCUAAAUGUGUUUUCUUUUGUCUAGAAACUUAGGCAUGUGAAUACUGACGUCUAUAUUAAGAUACUUUGUUGCUGAGAUGUUUUAUUGGAGUAAUCCUUAUUGGUAAAGCGCAUAAUUUCAGUCAUGUUACCUGUAUUUUGAACUGUAAUUUGAUACUCAACUUUGAAAUAAUAUAAAACCACUCGAUCAACUUAUGCAGGUGCUAUCUCCGCACUUCAUGUUGUCAGAAUACAAGCCAAAAGCUAAGACAGGCGAUGCAUUUACAAGUGAGUAAGCUCAUUUUAUAAAUUAUGCAAAUUUUGUAGUUGUUGCCUGCUUUAUGAAUACCCACUAAUCUUUGAGAUCGAUUCCAUGCUAAUUUGUUUUUUGAGUCCUUGUUUCUAUUGGUAUUUUGCCGCAUUUUGUGAUUGACGUAAACAAGAUGUCAUACUUCUUGCUCUUCUCCUUCAAUUAAUUGUGUAUCCUGUGCAUAAAGGAAUUCAUCCUAAAUGAUGAGUAAUUCAAGUAAGCUAUGGAUUAACAUCCAAAUGAAGCUUUUUUGUCAUAGUUACACUGAUAGAUGAGAUUCCUUUAUAUGUGUUAUCCUAGGGUUCCUUUUUCUUGAUGAAUGAUCUCAUAGUUUGUUAUGUUGUAGAUAACAAGAAAUAUAAUACUUGAUAAAAAAAGAAGAGAGAUAAUACUUAUUAAAAAAGAGAUAUUACAUGAGCGCCGAAGGGAGUGGCAUAGUUGUCAAUGAAGUGAGUGAAAACCCUAGAGACUGGUUCAAAUCCCAACCGCAACAACAAAAAAGGCUGUUAUUUCUUCUUAUCUGUCUAUGCCUUGGUAUGUUAGAGUUAACCAAUACCUGUAUUGAUGAAAGGCAAGCAUGUAUCUAGUGGAAUUGUCGAGGUGUGCACAAUAAUGGUCCGGAUACAACCAUUAUAAAAAAGAAAUACAUGUCUUUUCUAAACUGCUUUUUGCUGAUCCUUGGAUGUUACAGAAGCAUUUUACCUCCCAAAAUUUUCCAGUAAGUUUUCGUGCACCUCUUACUAGAGCGGUUUUCAAAAAUCCGGUUAAGCAACAUAUACAUCGCUUUUGCUGCUUUGAAAGGGUGUUUAACAUUAUUUAAACGGAAAAGGGCCAACAUUGCCCCUAGACACUGUUAAAUUGAACAAUUUUGCCCUCCUUUAAAAAAGUUUCUCGUUCCUAUUCCUGCCGUUAACAAAGUGGCUCGAUUUUGCUCUUAUGGGCUAACAACAACAAUUAAAGGACAAAUUUAGACCAUUCACAAAGUCCAUUCUGGCACUACUUAGCAAAGAGGGAUAAGUUAGAAUAGGAAAAUCACAACAACUGUUAUUAUUCUGGAGAAUGAUUUGCAAGGCUUCAUAUCUUUCACCUCAUAACUCCCUGUAAAUUUUGUAAUGCAUAACUUCUCAUCCUUCUCAAUUACCUCAAAUCGAAUUCUGUAAAAAUUAAACCCAAGGUCAACAUAUCCACCUUCAAUCAGCACAGAUUGCUUGUAUAUUUUCUCAUUAUCCACUAUGUUGAAUCUCUCGAAAUAUGGUAUUCCUGGUGUACCUGUUUUAAUAAAAGUUAAACACGAUGCAUGUAGAAAAUACAUAUCAGAUGUUGAUCAAUAAUUUGUUGUAAUACUUUAGAUGAACAUCCUUAUGGUCAACUUUGGUCUCUGUGUGGGUGUAUAUAGUAUAGUUGAAUGUGACAUGCACUGUCUUGACUUCUUAUCUCUUUGGAGAUUCAUUCAAAAAGAAAUCUACAGUACCUUUCUUUAUAGUAUGAUCUUUCUGUGUCCAUGUCUUUGGCUAUGUAAUAUCCAGGUUGUUUUGGCUUAUCCACCUUAGUAAAUAGUCAUUCUUUGGUGAUAAUGAUGAUGAUUCUUCAGAGCAAAUGGUAUUAGGAAUUGAUAUGGCAAGAGACGCAUAUCUUGGUGAGAUAAGCCUAUCCUGGAAGGUUACUACCAUGCCCAUGAUGGUGUUGGAAAAUCUCAAUGCUGAACAUAAAGCCAAUUUAUGCUCACUUUUAAGCCAAAACAAUGUUAAAAGUAGGGCAUUAUUUCAUAGCUAAAGUAGGUGCUUGGCUUAUAUGUAUGGAGUAACUUUCUUCAAUUCUUGUGCUUUCCCUGCUCAUCCUUUAAUUUCUCUUGUAAAGUUCCAGCAAUUUUAAUCAAUGUGCAUCAUAUUUAGUUCGCAUAUAUACGUAUUAUCUUACAAAGAAAAGCCUUGUAGAACAG
rnacentral:lncRNA from 1 species